GUGGCGGACGGGUGAGUAACACGUGGGUAACCUGCCCUAAAGUGGGGGAUAACAUUUGGAAACAGAUGCUAAUACCGCAUAAAACCUAACACCGCAUGGUGUAGGGUUGAAAGAUGGUUUCGGCUAUCACUUUAGGAUGGACCCGCGGUGCAUUAGUUAGUUGGUGAGGUAAAGGCUCACCAAGACCGUGAUGCAUAGCCGACCUGAGAGGGUAAUCGGCCACACUGGGACUGAGACACGGCCCAGACUCCUACGGGAGGCAGCAGUAGGGAAUCUUCCACAAUGGACGAAAGUCUGAUGGAGCAACGCCGCGUGAGUGAAGAAGGUUUUCGGAUCGUAAAACUCUGUUGU
rnacentral:rRNA from 1 species